rnacentral:rRNA from 1 species
UAUACGACCGUACCGCAAACCGACACUGGUGCGCGAGAUGAGUAUUCUAAGGCGCUUGAGAGAACUCAGGAGAAGGAACUCGGCAAAUUGACACCGUAACUUCGGAAGAAGGUGUGCCCUAUUAGUGUGUAGUGAACAACGAAGCAUGAAUGGGUUGCAAAAAAUCGGUGGCUGCGACUGUUUAUUAAAAACACAGCACUCUGCAAACACGAAAGUGGACGUAUAGGGUGUGACGCCUGCCCGGUGCUGGAAGAUUAAAUGAUGGGGUGCAAGCUCUUGAUUGAAGUCCCAGUAAACGGCGGCCGCAACAAUAACGGUCCUAAGGUAGCGAAAUUCCUUGUCGGGUAAGUUCCGACCUGCACGAAUGGCGUAACGAUGGCCACACUGUCUCCUCCUGAGACUCAGCGAAGUUGAAAUGUUUGUGAUGAUGCAAUCUCCCCGCGGAAAGACGGAAAGACCCCAUGAACCUUUACUGUAGCUUUGUAUUGGACUUUGAACAGAUCUGUGUAGGAUAGGUGGGAGGCUUUGAAGCAGGGUCGCUAGAUCUUGUGGAGCCAACGUUGAAAUACCACCCUGGUGUGUUUGAGGUUCUAACCUAGGUCCAUUAUCUGGAUCGGGGACAGUGCAUGGUAGGCAGUUUGACUGGGGCGGUCUCCUCCCAAAGCGUAACGGAGGAGUUCGAAGGUACGCUAGUUACGGUCGGACAUCGUGACGAUAGUGCAAUGGCAUAAGCGUGCUUAACUGCGAGACUGACAAGUCGAGCAGAUGCGAAAGCAGGACAUAGUGAUCGGGUGGUUCUGCAUGGAAGGGCCAUCGCUCAACGGAUAAAAGGUACUCUGGGGAUAACAGGCUGAUACCGCCCAAGAGUUCAUAUCGACGGCGGUGUUUGGCACCUCGAUGUCGGCUCAUCUCAUCCUGGGGCUGUAGCCGGUCCCAAGGGUAUGGCUGUUCGCCAUUUAAAGAGGUACGUGAGCUGGGUUUAAAACGUCGUGAGACAGUUUGGUCCCUAUCUUCCGUGGGCGCUGCAGAUUUGAGGAAGCCUGCUCCUAGUACGAGAGGACCGGAGUGGACACACCUCUGGUGUAUCGGUUGUCACGCCAGUGGCAUUGCCGAGUAGCUAAGUGUGGAAGAGAUAACCGCUGAAAGCAUCUAAGCGGGAAACUCGUUUCAAGAUGAGAUCUGCCGGGGCCUUGAGCCCCCUAAAGAGUCGUUCAAGACCAGGACGUUGAUAGGUCAGGUGUGGAAGUGAAG